UUCCGGUUGAUCCCGCCGGACCUGACUGCUAUCGGAUUGAUACUAAGCCAUGCGAGUCAUUGUAGCAAUACAAGGCAGACGGCUCAGUAACGCGUAGUCAACCUACCCUAUGGACGGGAAUAACCUCGGGAAACUGAGAAUAAUGCCCGAUAGAACAUUAUGCCUGGAAUGGUUUAUGUUCAAAAUGAUUUAUCGCCGUAGGAUGGGACUGCGGCCUAUCAGUUUGUUGGUGAGGUAAUGGCCCACCAAGACUAUUACAGGUACGGGCUCUGAGAGGAGUAGCCCGGAGAUGGGUACUGAGACACGGACCCAGGCCCUAUUGGGCGCAGCAGGCGAGAAAACUUUGCAAUGUGCGAAAGCACGACAAGGUUAAUCCGAGUGGUUUCUGCUAAAGGAGCCUUUUGACAGUCCUAGAAACACUGUUGAAUAAGGGGUGGGCAAGUUCUGGUGUCAGCCGCCGCGGUAAAACCAGCACCUCAAGUGGUCAGGAUGAUUAUUGGGCCUAAAGCAUCCGUAGCCGGCUCUGUAAGUUUUCGGUUAAAUCUAUACGCUCAACGUAUAGGCUGCCGGGAAUUACUGCAAAGCUAGGGAGUGGGAGAAGUAGACGNUACUCGGUAAGAAGGGGUAAAAUCCUUUGAUCUAUUGAUUACCACCUGUGGCGAAAGCGGUCUACCAAAACACGUUCGACGUAAAGGGAUGAAAGCUGGGGGAGCAAACCGGAUUAGAUAUCCGGGUAGUCCCAGCUGUUAACUAUGCAAACUCAGUGA
rnacentral:rRNA from 1 species